rnacentral:rRNA from 1 species
AGUGAACGCUGGCGGUAGGCCUAACACAUGCAAGUCGAACGGCAGCACAGUAAGAGCUUGCUCUUACGGGUGGCGAGUGGCGGACGGGUGAGGAAUACAUCGGAAUCUACUUUUUCGUGGGGGAUAACGUAGGGAAACUUACGCCAAUACCGCAUACGACCUACGGGUGAAAGCAGGGGAUCUUCGGACCUUGCGCGAUUGAAUGAGCCGAUGUCGGAUUAGCUAGUUGGGGGGGUAAAGGCCCACCAAGGCGACGAUCCGUAGCUGGUCUGAGAGGAUGAUCAGCCACACUGGAACUGAGACACGGUCCAGACUCCUACGGGAGGCAGCAGUGGGGAAUAUUGGACAAUGGGCGCAAGCCUGAUCCAGCCAUACCGCGUGGGUGAAGAAGGCCUUCGGGUUGUAAAGCCCUUUUGUUGGGAAAGAAAAGCAGCAGGUUAAUACCCCGCUGUUCUGACGGUACCCAAAGAAUAAGCACCGGCUAACUUCGUG